AUUGAACGCUGGCGGCAGGCUUAACACAUGCAAGUCGAGCGGGGUGAUGGUGCUUGCACUAUCACUUAGCGGCGGACGGGUGAGUAAUGCUUAGGAAUCUGCCUAUUAGUGGGGGACAACAUCUCGAAAGGGAUGCUAAUACCGCAUACGUCCUACGGGAGAAAGCAGGGGAUCACUUGUGACCUUGCGCUAAUAGAUGAGCCUAAGUCGGAUUAGCUAGUUGGUGGGGUAAAGGCCUACCAAGGCGACGAUCUGUAGCGGGUCUGAGAGGAUGAUCCGCCACACUGGGACUGAGACACGGCCCAGACUCCUACGGGAGGCAGCAGUGGGGAAUAUUGGACAAUGGGGGGAACCCUGAUCCAGCCAUGCCGCGUGUGUGAAGAAGGCCUUAUGGUUGUAAAGCACUUUAAGCGAGGAGGAGGCUCUUUUGGUUAAUACUCUUGGAUAGUGGGCGUUACUCGCAGAAUAAGCACCGGCUAACUCUGUGCUAGCCGCCGCCGUAA
rnacentral:rRNA from 1 species